rnacentral:lncRNA from 1 species
AGACGAAUUUCCCUUAUGAAUACCAAUGCAAAAAUACUCAAUAAAAUCCUCGCAAACCAAAUCCAAGAACACAUCAAAAUGAUCAUCCAUCAUGACUACAUAGGCUUCAUCCCAGGGAUGCAGGGAUGGUUUAAUAUAUGGAAAUCCAUCAAUGUAAUCCACUAUAUAAACAAACUCAAAGACAAAAAUUACAUGAUCAUCUCCUUAGAUGCUGAGAAAGCAUUUGACAAAAUCCAAUACCCAUUCAUGAUAAAAGUCUUGGAAAUCUCAGGAAUUCAAGGCCCAUACCUAAACAUAAUAAAAACAAUCUACAGCAAACCAGUAGCCAACAUCAAACUAAAUGGAGAGAAACUUGAAGCAAUCCCACAAAAAUCAGGGACUAGACAAGGCUGCCCACUUUUUCCCUACCUAUUCAAUAUAGUACUUGAAGUUCUAGCCAGAGCAAUUCGACAACAAAAGGACAUCAAGGAGAUACAAAUUGGAAAGGAAGAAGUGAAAAUAUCACUAUUUGCAGAUGAUAUGAUAGUAUAUAUAAGUGAUCCUAAAAUUCCACCAGAGAACUCCUAAACCUGAUAAACAGCUUCAAUGCAGUAGCUGGAUAUAAAAUUAACUCAAACAAAUCAAUGGCCUUUCUCUACACAAAGCAUAAAUGGACUGAGAAAGAUAUUAGGGAAACAACACCCUUUACAAUAGUCACAAAUAAUAUAAAAUACCUUGGUGUGACUUUAACUAAGGAAGUGAAAGAUCUGUAUGAUAAGAACUUCAAGUCUCUGAAGAAAGAAAUUGAAGAAGAUCUCAGAAGACAGAAAGAUAUCCCAUGCUCAUGGAUUGGCAGGAUUAAUGUAGGAAAAAUGGCUAUCCUGCCAAAAGCAAUCUACAAAUUCAAUGCAAUGCCCAUUAAAAUUCCAACUCAAUUCUUCACGGAGAUAGAAAGGGCAAUUUGCAAAUUCAUCUGGAAUAAUAAAAAACCUAGGAUAGCAAAUAUUCUCAACAAUAAAAGAACCUCUGGUGGAAUCACUAUGUCUGACAUUAAGCUGUACUACAAAGCAAUUGUGAUUAAAAAAACAAACAAACAAACAAACUGCAUGGUACUGGUACAGUGACAGAAAGGUAGAUCAAUGGAAUGUAAUUGAAGACCCAGAAAUGAAUCAACACACCUAUGGUCACAUGAUCUUUGACAAGGGAGCUAAAACCCUCCAGUGGUAAAAAAGACAGCAUUUCCAACAAAUGGUGCUGGAACAACUGGAGGUUAUCAUAUAGAAGAAUGCGAAUUGAUCCAUUCUUAUCUCCUUGUACAAAGGUCAAGUCUAAGUGGAUCAAAGACCUUCACAUAAAACCAGAGACACUGAAAUUAAUAGAAGAGAAAUUGGGGAAAAGCCUCGAAGAUAUGGGCACAGAGGAAAAAUUCCUAAACAGAACAACAAUGGCUUGUGCUGUAAGAUCAAGAAUUGACAAAUGGAACCUCAUAAAAUUGCAAAGCUUCUGUAAGGCAAAAGACACUGUCAAUAAGACAAAAAGGCCACCAACAGAUUGGGAAAGGAUUUUUACCAAUCCUAAAUCUGAUAGGGGACUAAUAUCCAAUAUAUACAAAGAGCUCAAGAAGCUGGACUCCAGAAAUUCAAAGAACCCCAUUAAAAAUGGGGUACAGAGCUAAACAAAGAAUUCUCAACUGAGGAAUACCAAAUGGCUGAGAAGCACCUGAAAAAAAUGUUCAACAUCCUUAAUCAUCAGGGAAAUGCAACUCAAAACAACCCUGAGAUUCCACCUCACACCAGUCAGAAUGGCUAAGAUCAAAAAUUCAGGUGACAGCAGAUGCUGGUGAGGAUGUGGAGAAAGAGGAACACUCCUCCAUUGUUGGUGGGAUUACAAGCUUGUACAACCACUCUGGAAAUCAGCCUGGCGGUUCCUCUGAAAAAUGGACAUAGUACUACCAGAGGAUCCUGUAAUACCUCUCCUGGGCAUAUAUCCAGAAGAUGUUCCAAUUGGUAAGAAAGACACAUACUCCACUAUGUUCAUAGCAGCAUUAUUUAUAAUAGCCAGAAGCUGGAAAGAAUCCAGAUGUCCCUCAACAGAAGAAUGGAUACAGAAAAUGUGGUACAUUUACACAAUGGAGUACUGCUCAGCUAUUGAAAACAAUGAAUUUAUUAAAUUCUUGGACAGAUGGAUGCAUUUGGAGGAUAUCAUCCUUAGUGAGGUAACCCAAUCACAAAAGAAGUCAUUAGACAUACACUCACUGAUAAGUGGAUAUUAACCCAGUAACAUAGAACACCCAAGAUACAAUUUGUAAAACACAAGAAAAUAAAGAGGAGGGAAGACCAACGGGUGGAUACUUCUAUCCUCCUUAGAAUAGGGAGCAAAAUACCCAUGGAAGGAGUUACAGAGACAAAGUUUGGAGAUAAGACGAAAGGAAGGACUAUCCAGAGACUACCCCACCUGGGGCUCCAUCCCAUAAUCAGCCACCAAACCCAGACACCAUUGCACAAUGCCAGAAAGAUUUUGCUGAAGGGACUCUCUUAUAGCUGUCUCGUAUGAGGUUAUGCCAGUGCCUGGCAAAUACAGAAGUGGAUGCUCACAGUCAUCUAUAAGAUGGAACACAGGGCCCCCAAUGGAGAAGCUAGAGAAAGCACCCAAGGAGCUGAAGGGGUCUGCAACACUCUAGGUGGAACAACAAUAUAAACUAACCAGUACCCCCAGAGCUCGUAUCUCUAGCUGCACAUGUAGGAGAAGAUGGCCUAGUCGGACAUCACUGGGAAGAGAGGCCCCUUGGUAUUGCAAACUUUAUAUGCCCCAGUACACGGGAAUGCCAGGGCCAAGAAGAGGGAGUGGGUGUGUAGGGGAGCAGGGCAGAGGGAGGGUAUAGGGAACUUUCAGGAUAGCAUUUGAAAUGUAUAUAAGGAAAAUAUC